rnacentral:misc_RNA from 1 species
GAAUGAUUUUGAUAUAGAAUUGCUCAAGGGGGCCGUUGUUCAUUCAUAUUUAGCAUACAGACCCAAAAAUUUUGCAACAUACAGACACAAAUUCACAAUUGUAUAUUUAGCAUUUUGCAUAAUCUCAUUGCCCAAAUACAAAAUUUGCUGCUUUGGAAUUAUGCAAAUCAUAGAUUACAUUGUUGAACUAUUGGCUGCCUUAUUGUUGAUUUCAUUUUCCAGCAUAAUGGCUUAAACAAUCAUUUGAUUUAUGUUUAAACUCUGCUACUUUGACCAUUUCACAUUUUGGUUUUUCUUUCUUAAACAGAUUGGAUUAUUGACAUGAUAUUAUUGUUCAAAAGAUCAAUGAGGCUGAUUUUUUGGGGUGAACUACUUCUCAUGUUAUUGUUUAUCAUAAAAUUUGACUCUACCCUUGUAGUUUCCUAAUCAGGAAUCUACUGUUUUGGUACCAUAGUUUAUCCAACCCUCAUUCAUAGCUGAUCAACAUUUCACUAAAUGAUGUUUUGCUAUUGUCUUGGUACUCAUACAUGUUUCUUUAACAUAUAACCGUCUGUUUGGCAAUGU